AUCCCUGUAGCGCAAUGGGUAGCGCGUUGGACUUGUAAUCCAAAUGUCGUGGGCUCGAAUCCCACCUGGGAUG
rnacentral:tRNA from 1 species